rnacentral:rRNA from 1 species
CAGUCGCCGCGGUAAUGCGAAGGGGGCUAGCGUUGCUCGGAAUCACUGGGCGUAAAGGGUGCGUAGGCGGGUCUUUAAGUCAGGGGUGAAAUCCUGGAGCUCAACUCCAGAACUGCCUUUGAUACUGAAGAUCUUGAGUUCGGGAGAGGUGAGUGGAACUGCGAGUGUAGAGGUGAAAUUCGUAGAUAUUCGCAAGAACACCAGUGGCGAAGGCGGCUCACUGGCCCGAUACUGACGCUGAGGCACGAAAGCGUGGGGAGCAAACAGGAUUAGAUACCCCCGUAGUCCCUGUCUCUUAUAC